rnacentral:rRNA from 1 species
AGCAGCCGCGGUAAUUCCAGCUCCAAUAGCGUAUAUUAAAGUUGUUGCAGUUAAAAAGCUCGUAGUUGAAUUUCGGGGUUUAUCCGUUGGUCGGGCUUUUUGGUCUGUACUGGCGUGAUGGAUUCCUACCUUCUGAAUAACCGGCAUGCCAUUAAUUUGGUGCGCCGGGGAAGCAGGACUGUUACCUUGAAAAAAUUAGAGUGUUUAAAGCAGGCUCACGCUUGAAUACAUUAGCAUGGAAUAAUGAAAUAGGACGUAUGAUUCUAUUUUGUUGGUUUCUAGGAUUGACGUAAUGAUUAAUAGGGAUAGUUGGGGGCAUUAGUAUUCAAUUGUCAGAGGUGAAAUUCUUGGAUUUAUUGAAGACUAACUACUGCGAAAGCAUUUGCCAAGGAUGUUUUCAUUAAUCAAGAACGAAAGUUAGGGGAUCGAAGAACGAUCAGAUACCGUCGUAGUCUUAACCAUAAACUAUGCCGACUAGGGAUCGGAUGAUGUUAAUUUUUUAAUGACUCAUUCGGCGCCU